rnacentral:rRNA from 1 species
UACGUAGGGUGCAGGCGUCAAUCGGAAUUACUGGGCGUAAAGCGUGCGCAGGCGGUUUGCUAAGACAGGUGUGAAAUCCCCGGGCUUAACCUGGGAACUGCGCUUGUAACUGGCAAGCUUGAGUGUGGCAGAGGGGGGUGGAAUUCCACGUGUAGCAGUGAAAUGCGUAGAGAUGUGGAGGAACACCGAUGGCGAAGGCAGCCCCCUGGGCUAACACUGACGCUCAUGCACGAAAGCGUGGGGAGCAAACAGG